GACGAACGCUGGCGGCGUGCUUAACACAUGCAAGUCGAACGGAAAGGCCCUGCUUUUGUGGGGUGCUCGAGUGGCGAACGGGUGAGUAACACGUGAGUAACCUGCCCUUGACUUUGGGAUAACUUCAGGAAACUGGGGCUAAUACCGGAUAGGAGCUCCUGCUGCAUGGUGGGGGUUGGAAAGUUUCGGCGGUUGGGGAUGGACUCGCGGCUUAUCAGCUUGUUGGUGGGGUAGUGGCUUACCAAGGCUUUGACGGGUAGCCGGCCUGAGAGGGUGACCGGGCACAUUGGGACUGAGAUACGGCCCAGACUCCUACGGGAGGCAGCAGUGGGGAAUAUUGCACAAUGGGCGGGAGCCUGAUGCAGCAACGCCGCGUGCGGGAUGACGGCCUUCGGGUUGUAAACCGCUUUCGCCUGUGACGAAGCGUGAGUGACGGUAAUGGGUAAAGAAGCACCGGCUAACUACGUG
rnacentral:rRNA from 1 species